AUGGAUCGUCGUUCUAGUGGUAUUACACCAAGGGACCUGGAGUGCAUGCUAUGUGAUGAAACGGCAGAGCCCAAGGCUCUGCCACUGUCGCUCCUGGAAGAAAUCACAGGUGAUUUCUCUGAUGAGCAGGAAAUUGGUAGAGGUGGAUUUGCGGUGGUUUAUAAGGGAAAGCUUGAGAACAGGACUGUGGCCGUGAAGAGGAUGUCCAAUACGUAUAUGUACGAGAAGGAGUUCCAGCGAGAAGUUGAAUGUCUCAUGAUGGUCAAGCACAAAAAUGUAGUACGGUUUCUGGGAUAUUGUGCUGACACACAAGGGAGUAUGGAGAAGUACGAUGGAAAAUUCGUCAUGGCAGAUGUACAACAAAGGUUGCUCUGCUUCGAGUAUCUUCCUAAAGGGAGUCUGCAUGAGUAUAUCACUGAUACAUCUAGCGGACUUCCGUGGAGAGACAGAUAUCGUAUUAUUGAAGGAGUUUGUCAGGGAUUACACUAUCUUCAUCAGAAAAAUAUUGUCCACUUAGAUCUAAAGCCGGCAAAUUUAUUGUUGGAUGAUAAUUUGGUGGCAAAAAUUGCUGAUUUCGGUCUAUCGAGGUGCUUUGGUGAAAUGCAAAGCCGGGUUAUUACCGAGAACAUAGCCGGAACAUUGGGAUAUUUGGCACCAGAAUUUGGUAACGGUGUAAUCACGUACCAGUUUGAUAUCUACAGUCUCGGUGUAAUAAUCAUAGAGAUACUGACUGGAAAGAAGGGGUACCACGCUGUUGACAAUGUUGUUGGAAGUUGGAGUAACGUGAUGGGGAAAUCACAGAGCAAUGUACAGCUGGAACAGGUUCGAGUAUGUGCUGAGAUAGGAAUAGAGUGCACCAACUUCAACCCGGCGAAGAGACCAGAUACGCAAUAUGUAAUCAAUAGACUUGCUGAAACAGAAACCAUUGACGGAUAUAUCGAAACUGGUGUGAUUACUUCACAUCAGGUACGAUCACUCUCACACCAGGCCGAACAUGCUCCAAAUGGACUUCGUCAAGAUACGCCUAACACGCCAGGAGCGGCAAGCUCGGAGGAGAAUGUCACUGCAGUUACAGUGGCAGAGACAACCCCAUAUAACAGUUUUUGGAAAAAUACUGCAAAGCUUGACAUGUUGAAUGCAAAGGUUCACAAAUUGAAUGAGACGAUGCGUUCUAUUUGGUCUAUAUAUCAGCGGCUUAAUCCAGACAUCAGGCGAUGCUUAGAAUACUGCAGUAUUUUCCCCAGAAGAUGCAAGUUGAGAAGGAAUCAGUUAGUUGCUUUGUGGAUGGCGCAAGGGUUUGUAAAGACGAGUUGUGCAACAGAGGACAUGGAAGAUGUGGCUGAGGGCUACAUUCAAGAGUUAGUGUCAUGCUCAUUUCUACAACCAGAACAAACUUGGGAUAAGAUUGGUUGUUUCACAAUUCAUGAUGUGGUGCAUGGUUUAUUAGACAAGGUCGCUCGAAAUUGCUUCAGAAUCGAAAAUGCAGGUAGCCAAGGAGGAGAAGGAUGGAACGGAGAUGUCCCUCGAGAUGUCCAGCAUCUCUUUGUUGAGAAAUAUGAUACAAAGUUGAUUACCGGGAAGGUCCUUGGAUUGGAAAAUUUGUGUACUCUCAUUGUUUAUGGUGUUGAAGAGGAUACACUAGUUAAGGAAAGAGUGAUUGAGAGUAUAUGCAAGAGGCUGCUGAAAUUGCGGGUGCUUGCGAUUGCUUUCAGCCAGGAACCUGCUGCAAUCAAGAUCAACGUAUGCAACAAGUUCUCGGUCCCAGAAUCCAUUAGUCAGCUAAAGCACCUACGCUAUCUUGCUUUUAGGAUAAGCAACUAUGGCUAUCCGAAGGUAAUUUUACCAAGCACAAUACGUAAACUUCAGCAUAUCCAGCUCCUAGAUUUUGGCGAUGGCUAUGUUGAGUUUAACUUUGGUGUUCAUGUCCACUUGCGGUACAUAAUGUCUCGGUUCCAACUUCCUAACAUAGGCGGGCUUAUAUCACUCCACACUCUAAGAGACUUCAAAGUAAGCAACCUACAAGAAGGUUAUGAUAUAAAACAGCUGAGGGACCUAAACAAGCUUCGUGGCUACCUGCACAUCAAGGGCCUUGAAAAUGUUAGAAGCAAGGAGGAAGCUCUUGAAGCCAAUCUAGCUGCCAAGGAACGGCUCACUGAAUUGGAACUGCGGUGGAGUUGUAAUGCUUCCAAUAGGUGCAGUCGACAAGUUGACGCAGAGGUACUUGAGGGCCUGUGCCCUCCCCCCUAG
rnacentral:rRNA from 1 species